GACGAACGCUGGCGGCGUGCCUAAUACAUGCAAGUAGAACGCUGAAGAGAGGAGCUUGCUCUUCUUGGAUGAGUUGCGCACGGGUGAGUAACGCGUAGGUAACCUGCCUUGUAGCGGGGGAUAACGAUUGGAAACGAUAGCUAAUACCGCAUAACAAUGUAUGACACAUGUCAUUUAUUUGAAAGGGGCAAUUGCUCCACUACAAGAUGGACAUGCGUUGUAUUAGCUAGUAGGUGAGGUAAUGGCUCACCUAGGCGACGAUACAUAGCCGACCUGAGAGGGUGAGUGGCCAAACUGGGACUGAGACACGGCCCAGAAUCCUACGGGAGGCAGCAGGAGGGAAUCUUCGGCCAUGGGGGCAACCCUGACCGAGCCACGCCGCGUGAGUGAAGAAGGUUUUCGGGUCGGAAAGCUCUGUUGUAAGGCAAGAAAGGGUGUGAGAGUGGAAAGUUCACACUGUGACGGUAGCUUAACAGAAAGGGACGGCUAACUACGUG
rnacentral:rRNA from 1 species